GUGGAUUAGAUACCCGGGUAGUCCACGCCGUAAACGAUGGAUACUAGCUGUUGGGGGCAACUUCAGUGGCUAAGCGAAAGUGAUAAGUAUCCCACCUGGGGAGUACGAACGCAAGUUUGAAACUCAAAGGAAUUGACGGGGGCCCGCACAAGCGGUGGAGCAUGUGGUUUAAUUCGAUGAUACGCGAGGAACCUUACCAAGGCUUAAAUGUAGAUUGACCGUUUUGGAAACAGAACUUUCGCAAGACAAUUUACAAGGUGCUGCACGGCUGUCGUCAGCU
rnacentral:rRNA from 1 species